UGAUUUGUUGGACGCUAGCGGCGGAUGGGUGAGUAACACGUGGGCAAUCUGCCCUAAAGACUGGGAUACCACUUGGAAACAGGUGCUAAUACCGGAUAACAACAUGAAUCGCAUGAUUCAAGUUUGAAAGGCGGCGUAAGCUGUCACUUUAGGAUGAGCCCGCGGCGCAUUAGCUAGUUGGUGGGGUAAAGGCCUACCAAGGCAAUGAUGCGUAGCCGAGUUGAGAGACUGAUCGGCCACAUUGGGACUGAGACACGGCCCAAACUCCUACGGGAGGCAGCAGUAGGGAAUCUUCCACAAUGGACGCAAGUCUGAUGGAGCAACGCCGCGUGAGUGAAGAAGGUUUUCGGAUCGUAAAGCUCUGUUGUUGGUGAAGAAGGAUAGAGGCAGUAACUGGUCUUUAUUUGACGGUAAUCAACCAGAAAGUCACGGCUAACUACGUGCCAGCAGCCGCGGUAAUACGUAGGUGGCAAGCGUUGUCCGGAUUUAUUGGGCGUAAAGCGAGCGCAGGCGGAAUGAUAAGUCUGAUGUGAAAGCCCACGGCUCAACCGUGGAACUGCAUCGGAAACUGUCAUUCUUGAGUGCAGAAGAGGAGAGUGGAAUUCCAUGUGUAGCGGUGGAAUGCGUAGAUAUAUGGAAGAACACCAGUGGCGAAGGCGGCUCUCUGGUCUGCAACUGACGCUGAGGCUCGAAAGCAUGGGUAGCGAACAGGA
rnacentral:rRNA from 1 species